AUGCACGCUGGCGGCGUGCCUAAUCCAUGCAAGUCGAGCGAACGGACGAGAAGCUUGCUUCUCUGAUGUUAGCGGCGGACGGGUGAGUAACACGUGGAUAACCUACCUAUAAGACUGGGAUAACUUCGGGAAACCGGAGCUAAUACCGGAUAAUAUUUUGAACCGCAUGGUUCAAAAGUGAAAGACGGUCUUGCUGUCACUUAUAGAUGGAUCCGCGCUGCAUUAGCUAGUUGGUAAGGUAGCGGCUUACCAAGGCAACGAUGCAUAGCCGACCUGAGAGGGUGAUCGGCCACACUGGAACUGAGACACGGUCCAGACUCCUACGGGAGGCAGCAGUAGGGAAUCUUCCGCAAUGGGCGAAAGCCUGACGGAGCAACGCCGCGUGAGUGAUGAAGGUCUUCGGAUCGUAAAACUCUGUUAUUAGGGAAGAACAUAUGUGUAAGUAACUGUGCACAUCUUGACGGUACCUAAUCAGAAAGCCACGGCUAACUACGUG
rnacentral:rRNA from 1 species